AGUGAACGCUGGCGGUAGGCCUAACACAUGCAAGUCGAACGGCAGCACAGUAAGAGCUUGCUCUUACGGGUGGCGAGUGGCGGACGGGUGAGGAAUACAUCGGAAUCUACUUUUUCGUGGGGGAUAACGUAGGGAAACUUACGCUAAUACCGCAUACGACCUACGGGUGAAAGCAGGGGAUCUUCGGACCUUGCGCGAUUGAAUGAGCCGAUGUCGGAUUAGCUAGUUGGCGGGGUAAAGGCCCACCAAGGCGACGAUCCGUAGCUGGUCUGAGAGGGUGAUCGGGGACACUGGAACUGAGACACGGGCCAGACACCUACGGGAGGCAGCAGUAGGGAAUCUGCCGGAAUGGGCGAAAGCCUGAUGGAGCAACGCCGCGUGAGGGAUGAAGGUCGUCGGAUCUUAAAACUCUGUGAUUAGGGAAGAACAUAAGAGUAAGUAACUGUGCACAUCUUGACGGGACCUAAGGAGAAAGCCAAGGCGAACUACGUG
rnacentral:rRNA from 1 species